ensembl:lncRNA
GUUCAAUAUUUACAUUAAUAGUUAGCGGUUAGCGGUAGAUAGUUACUGGAACAAUCUGCAGCUCCCUGACUCACCCUAAAUAACACAGAGGUUAAAUGCCUGCUUGCUGAACACAGGCCACAGCAGCACCUGGAUCUUCUAGAUACCUACUGAACAAGGUCUACAGCAGCACCUGGUUCUGCCAGAGCACCUACUGAACAAGAUCUACAGCAUCACCUGGUUCUGCCAGAGCACCUACUGAACAAGAUCUACAGCAUCACCUGGUUCUGCUAGACCACCUACUGAACAAGGUCUACAGCAGCACCUGGUUCUGCCAGAGCACCUACUGAACAAGAUCUACAGCAGCACCUGGUUCUGCCAG